AUUGACAACUCUGAUUAUACAUCGUCUUCACUAAACGGACCUUUGCUGAGUUUUGUAUUGUGUUCAUCCCCACCCCACACUCUGCUGUUGCCAUGGGAGCCGAAAUCCUGGCAUGGUUAGCUCCGCCCCCAAGUGGCUCUGUCUCCCAGAGUGCUUUGCUGUUACUAUGGAAAUGCCUGCCUAUUAAUCUUGCUGUCCUUUUACUACCAAAGCACCUUUAACUGUCUCAAGCAAUCAAGUGAUGUUACCUACAGCAGGGAAAGGAAGGAGAAGACGGCCUCCCAUUCUCCAGCUGAAGCGCUGAUUUUAAUCAAGAUUUAAUCAAGGAGCAGAAGAAUGGACUCCCCCAAACUGCUCACCGUGCAGACUUGAUCUAAGCAUGGACACUGUUCUCUCCGAUUGCCUUAAAGAUGCAGCUAAGACCAGUCAGUGGUGUUGGCCAAAGAUAUAGUGGAAGUUUGGCAUGUAUAGAAGGCCUAAGUCACUCCCAGUGUUCCUCCGCACCAGUCUACUCUCCCUUGGAAAUGCACAACGUGUCUCAAAUGUUUUCCUACCAGUGAAGGAAUGUAUUUUCUGAAGAAGACCCAAAAGGAAAAUGUUCAUGGGUAUAGCUCAUCUAGAGAAACAUUGACCAGUUUCAGCAGAAAAGAUAGCACAGAAAGAAGAUGGCAUCUGACUUCAACAUUUAGGGUAUGCCUGCCUGAACUCCAGCUCUAGCAGCAAGAUAGACCCUCAGGACACCAAGCCUCCUAAAGAUCAUCCCAGAAGGAUGGAACCAGGGAAGCCAGACAUUUAGCCUCAAGCCAUUUAAUUGGAAUCGUAAAAAGAGACACAGUUUUAUAUCACACCUCUAAGCUGGUAAAGUAGGUUGUGUCCAUUUGGGGCACUACGAACCUUCUCUCAGAUUAUUUAAGAUGGGUAUGAGAAGCACGUAAUCUUUAGGGAAUGCCAGGCACUGUUUCAGAUUCUUACACAUGUCAUUCAUUGAAGUCUCCCAUGUAAUUAUGAGGUAGGUAUUUCCGAGAGGGAACUGAGGCACAAGGAAGUAACAUAACUUUCUCCAGCUUUGACAACCAUUAAGUGGUGAGGCCAGAAUUCGGCCCCAGCCAUGCUCUGAACUUCUCAAUCACUUGCUCUCUUCCUGACACCCCAAAGCUGGCAGCCUUGCUCCCCUGAGCGUUCGAGGGCAUUUCAUGAAGGAAGCCCUCAACAGAGCUGGAGGUGAGAGAGAACAGCACGCUGUCUGCUCCGCAGCACUUCUCUCCGGGACCAGCUUUCUCUGUAUCUUCCACUGUAAUUUAGUUAAUAUACUUAAUAAUCUCACCAAAUGAGGCUAAAUCUGUUUUUGGCACCUAACCAAACCUAAGACUGUAAACCACCUGUCAACACCCUCACUGGAGCUUGUCUGGAUGCCCACAGGAGAGGAAAUCCGGGCUUAGGAGUGUGGCCCUGCUGCGCAGACAGAGCUCAGAACGCCAACUCUCCCGUUCCUCCUGGCCUGGCUCGUUCUGCCUAGAACUCUGAAAUACAGCUCCCUACCCGCUUUGGGCUCUGCGUGUAUAUUGCUAUUAUCAGUUACCAGCAGUAUUUGAUGUCGCUACAGCACCUCAUAUUUGCAAGUCCCCUCCUUCGGGUGUUUGUGCACGGCUGGUCUUCACAGCCACAGCUCUGCACUGACACCACCCGCCCAGAAUUAUUCUUAGGGGGUAAAUGAUUUGCUUACGGCAAUUGCAGAGGGAUGUGCUGGAGAAUGCAAGAUGAGAGACAGGAGACGAAGGACGCCACGGCCUAGCUGUUUAGGGGAGUCCAGUGAAAAGAGCAGAGAACUGGCAGCUUGAUUUUACUUGUUUCCAUUUAUGAUCAUAAAAGUAUUAUUAUUAAUGAGGCUGUUUUACAUUUUACAGCUCCUUUUCAGCUGGAGAGAUUCCCAAAAGGUUUUGCGAACUCUGCUUGCGGCUUCACUGUGAUCGUGUGGCCAUUGCUUGUUCUUGCCUCUCGAGGAGCCUCUUACUCACACAGAGGCAGGGACAGUAGCAAUAAUCAGUAGAUAAAGCCACAAGUUAGACACUAAAGUUUUGCCCCCAACCCUGCCUAGUGUUAAAAAGGGGCUCCUCUUUGCCCCCACGAUCCAUUCCAUUUUCCAGGCAGGAAAAGGUGGUGGCAGCUCAGCAUCCAUUGGUGAGGGCUGAGUUCCCGCCCACUUGUACCACCGGGGACAAUUAGAGCAAAAUGAGACCGCAAACAUCAAUAGGGGAAAGGCUGCAACAAACUUCAGCUAGAAAUCUGAAGAUGUGCUCCUCUUUGUAACAGUGAAAUAUAGAUUUUAAUGCCCUAAAGACACUAAAACUGUAAUGCCAACUCUAAGCGUGUGAAACACAAAAGAAACACGGGGUAAGGUCCUAAAGUAUUCGAUUUAGAGGAAAUGAGCAGAAAGUUGAAAUAGAAAAGCACAGACAUGUGUGGUGUGAAAGCAGAAAAGUCUCGAGGCUAAUAGCCGCAUUAACAACUCUGAGCCAGCGUCAAAUUCUGAAGUCCCCGGGCCCCACGCCCCAGAAGCCCAAGUAGCUUGCUGAGUGUGCUGUCUUCGGGGCCUGCUUCCCAUUUGUUAUUAAGCCCAGCUCUCUGUGGACCCAGAAUCCAUUUCUUAAGAAUCAUGAUCAUCUGCUUGAAUUAGAAGGAGAUUGUUACUUACCUUGAAAUUCUAAAUGCUGUAUUUGGUACUAGCUUUUGUCAGCUGCCAGAGGAAAAGUUCAAUUAAAACGAGUUUCUUUAUCCUUUCCUCCCUCUUAAAAAAAAACCAGGGGGUUAGAUUCUAUAGUUUACUUGUACAGUACUUUAUUCUUAAUUAUUUUAAUUAUUUAACAAAUACAUGUAUAGCACUUCCCAUGUGCCAGACACUGUUCUGAGUGCUUAACAAUAUCACUCAUUCAAUUGUCAUAACAACCCUAAGAGAUAGGCAUUAAUAUUUUACAGAAGAAGAAAUUUACAGAUGAGGAAACUGAGGCACAGAGAGGUUAAGUAACUUGCCUGAGGUCACACUGCUAACGAGCAGCAAAGCCAAGAUUCAAACUCAGGGAGUCUGGCUCAAGUCCCUAUUUUUACUACUAUGUUACGCUGCUUCCCUUACAUAAAUUAUGCUCACAAAUGUGGAGAGGCAGUUUUUAGCGGAACAUAAGGAAAAUAUUAUGAAAGCAAAAGACAAUGACAACUUACAAUUCAGGAAAAUGCGUGUGCCUGGACAUAUUUUUACAGGUUGCUUCCAUUAAAAUCUUAUUUUUAAAAUCAUUAUCUAAUUAACCUUAAAUUCUAAGACAUUUUUCUCUUCCAGGAAGGAGCCACACAUCCAUUGGUGGGGCUUCAUUUUUGUCUUCAUCUGCUUUAUAACUUCAAAGACGGGAGGGUGGGUGGAGGUGGGAAGGGUUUGGCCUACACAGGAGGACGGAGCACAGUGAUCAGCACUUGGGUUCAAAUCCCGGCUUUGCCGCUAUUUGUAUGACUUUGAGUAAAGUCCUUAAUCUUUCUGUGCCUCAGUUGCCUGAUCUAUAAAACGGGAAUGAUAAUAUUACCUACUCAGAGGUGGUUGUAAGAUUAAUUGAGCUAAUACACAUAAGGUGCUCGCCGCGCGUGGCCCACAGCGAGCGCUGCGUGAAAGUAGGGAAAUUGGGCGGCGGGACAGAAUGAGAAUGAGACCGCAGACCGCAGACUGAUAGGGCCAGUCUCUGCUUCCUGUUAGUUCUCUGGGGGGACUCGUGUCUGUCACCCCCAUCAAGGAGGGCAGCGGGCAGGCCUGCCCAACUUUGAGAGGUGACCCUGCAGUUUAAUUUCGGAAGCCGCCACCCCUCGCCUCGGGGACCCGACUCAGGCAGGCCAGCCCCAGCCCCAGCCCCAGCCCCAGCUCCAGCCCCAGCCGUGCCCUGGGCAUCGUGCACACUCAGUGCACACACGCUCCCCACGGGCCACCAGAGACAGGGCCGCGGCUUCAGCGGCCGGGCGUCCUGAGGGCACCCUGGCUCGGCGUGACAAGCGGCAGGGACAGACGGCCAGCGGGACCGGGUACCAGGAGGGGGCCACCCACGCUCUGCGCAUCCCUGCGGCCCGCGGCGCACCCUGCCCUUCGCGGAGCGGGGAGUCCCGCGAAGGCCUGGGCGCUGCUGCGACUCCUUCUGGUGGUCUUCUCUCCCCCGUUGCUUUGAAUUACCUGGGUCACGUCCGCUGGCUGAAGACAGUCGUGGAGUGAGACAGGGGACGCCCGUCCUCACCCCGCUGCUCUAUCACACGGCCCAGAAAACCCGUCGGCAAAAGGGAGAGUGUUUUAUUUUUCAGACUGUUGUAAACCUUUUUACACACAGACACGCACUCACACACACAGUGAUCUCCUUUUACAAAAAGACAAAACGGAGGGGACAGAUGGGGCGGACCAUAUUGUUUACAGUUUUCUUCACCUUAUUUUUUUCACUUAAAAUAUAUCUGGGGGCAGGCCUGGUGGCGUAGUCUUUGGGUUCACCGCUCAGCUUCAGUGGUCCAGGGUCCGCGGGUGACAGGGGUCCCAACAUGCACACCGCUCAUCAAGCCAUGCUGCACUGGCGUCCCACAUAAAAAAACAGAGGAUGUUAGCUCAGGGAC
ensembl:lncRNA